CCUACGGGUGGCAGCAGUGGGGAAUAUUGCACAAUGGAGGAAACCCUGAUCCAGCGACGCCGCGUGAGUGAAGAAGUCAUUCUUUAUGUAAAGCUCUAUCUGCAGGGGAGAAAAUGACGGUACCUGAGUAAGACUCCCCGGCUAACUCCGUUCCAGCAGCCGCGGUACUACGUAGGGGGCAAGCGUUAUCCGGAUUUACUGGGUGUAAAGGGGGCGUAGACGGCAGGGCAAGUCUGGAGUGAAAGGCGGGGGCUCAACUCCCGGAUUGCUUUGGAAACUGUACGGCUGGAGUGCAGUUGCGGUAAGUGGAAUUUCUGGUGUAGCGGUGAAAUGCGUAGAUAUCAGGAGGAACACCAGUGGCGAAGGCGGCUUACUGGACUGCAACUGACGUUGAGGCUCGAAAGCGUGGGGAGCAAACAGGAUUAGAUACCCGGGUAGUC
rnacentral:rRNA from 1 species